GUCUAUAUACAAAAUGCUCCCCAAACAUAUGAUGUUAUGCCAAAAACUCUGAAGAGAAGGAUAUAACAUCAAAAACAAACCAAAAAGAAAAAAAAAAGGCAAAACUCUCUUGGCUCUGUUCAGUUCAGUUCAGUCGCUCAGUCGUGUCCGACUCUUUGCGACCCCAUGAAUUGCAGCGCGCCAGGCCGCCCUGUCCAUCACCAACUCCCGGAGUUCACUCUGUAGACAGAGCUAAUGCUUCCUCUACAUCGAAAAAAAUAAUUGCUCUGUGGUCGGUCACAUCUGAAUGCUGUUGGGUGAGGUAACGCUGUGGUUGCCAUGGAGACGUGCUUUUUUAGCAGUGCUGGCAUCAGGAAGCUUCACUGAGUUGCCUCUCAUCUGUAGCUGAGUGCCUGAUAUACCGGGGGAAGAAAGUCAUGGCCCAAACCAAGACAUAGCUUGAGAGGGAGCAGAGCCGUGGCACCAGGGACACUCUCCAGAUUUGUCUGGUCUGAGGACCUCAGAGUCCCCUUGGUGUGUAAGGAGACCAGUCGGGGGACAGCGGUGGUUUCUGAGCUUCCAGUGAAGGAGAGUGAGGCUGGACCACAACUGGAGGACAAGACAUCCUCUCCAUCUCAGCCAUCCCAGACAGGUGAGCCAGGCUCCCCUGGACACCCCGGCACUGCUGAGCCAACCCCAGACAGAAGAACUGCCCGGACCCCCUCACAGCUUGCGUGAGACAACAGGUAGGUGUCUUGUGAAACACUGAGUGUUAGAGCAGUUUGUUAGGCAGCAAAUCAUCGCUUUGCACCUCCCACGUUGGAAUUCUCCUUUUUUGAAGCGCCAUAGCAGCUCAGCUUGGGCUUCCUUGGUGGCUCAGA
ensembl:lncRNA